rnacentral:rRNA from 1 species
CCUACGGGAGGCAGCAGCAGGGAAUCUUGGGCAAUGGGCGCAAGCCUGACCCAGCGACGUCGCGUGGGGGACGAAGGCCUUCGGGUUGUAAACCCCUUUUCCGAGGGAAGAUACAGGACGGUACCUCGGGAAUAAGCCCCGGCUAACUACGUGCCAGCAGCCGCGGUAAUACGUAGGGGGCAAGCGUUACCCGGAAUCACUGGGCGUAAAGUGCGCGUAGGCGGUUGGAUAAGUCUCUUGUGAAAGCUCCCGGCUCAACUGGGAGAGGUCAAGGGAUACUAUUCGACUAGAGGACAGCAGAGGUAAGCAGAAUUCCCGGUGUAGCGGUGGAAUGCGUAGAUAUCGGGAGGAACACCAGUGGCGAAAGCGGCUUACUGGGCUGUAACUGACGCUGAGGCGCGAGAGCGUGGGGAGCAAACUGGAUUAGAUACCCAGGUAGUCCACGCCCUAAACGAUGGAUACUAGGUAUGGGGGGUAUUGACCCCCUCCGUGCCGUAGCUAACGCGUUAAGUAUCCCGCCUGGGGACUACGGCCGCAAGGCUAAAACUCAAAGGAAUUGACGG